rnacentral:rRNA from 1 species
GACGAACGCUGGCGGCGUGCCUAAUACAUGCAAGUUGAGCGCUGAAGGUUGGUACUUGUACCAACUGGAUGAGCAGCGAACGGGUGAGUAACGCGUGGGGAAUCUGCCUUUGAGCGGGGGACAACAUUUGGAAGCGAAUGCUAAUACCGCAUAAAAACUUUAAACACAAGUUUUAAGUUUGAAAGAUGCAAUUGCAUCACUCAAAGAUGAUCCCGCGUUGUAUUAGCUAGUUGGUGAGGUAAAGGCUCACCAAGGCGAUGAUACAUAGCCGACCUGAGAGGGUGAUCAGCCACAUUGGGAAUGGGACACGGCCCAAACUCCUACGGGAGGCAGCAGUAGGGAAUCUUCGGCAAUGGACGGAAGUCUGACCGAGCAACGCCGCGUGAGUGAAGAAGGUUUUCGGAUCGUAAAACUCUGUUGGUAGAGAAGAACGUUGGUGAGAGUGGAAAGCUCAUCAAGUGACGGUAACUACCCAGAAAGGGACGGCUAACUACGUG